CCCUAGCCUUAAACCCUCCGAGCUGCCAGACCACCAAGUCUCCAAAUGCACACUAACAACACAAAAAUACACACACACAUCAAGAGAAAGGGAAGAACGGAGAGGAAAAGAAAGGAAAAGAAAGGGAAAAGCUGAAAUGAGACAUUGAGCGAGAGGAAGAGUUGCUCGAUGAAGGAGCGCCGCUGUGCCUCCAUCGCCGCCGUCAGUUCGCGUUCUACUGUCGUCGAGGGAAGCCACCGUCGUAGUCUCAUCUCAAGCGGGUCGUUGCCAGCUUCCACCGCCGUCGCAUCUCCCAUCACGGAUGACGCUGAGGACGCGCAGGAGAGAUAGACGCAUGGAGGGAGGAAGACUGAGGAAGAAAGAGGAGGCACUGUUCGCGCAGUUGCGCCCAGUCGCCGUUCGUGGAGUCACCGUCGUCGCCGCUGUUAGGGGUUGCGUCACUGAGCCCCUAUCGUUGGAAAACAACGCUGCCUCGUCGGGAUCCACUGCUGAUGUGCUCAAAGAAAAACUUGAAGAGCAACGAACACGGUAAGAGGAAGAAUUAGCUCAAAUGAAAGCUCAAUUGGAAGCUCAACAAGCCGUUGUGAACUCUUUUAUAGCGCGCUUUGACAAUGAAAGAAACUAGACAACUAAAGGAGUGCUGAAAUGGUGACCACAUGCUACAUUGAGGGCUCAAGAAUAUUUUGAUUCAUAGAGACACUAAUCUAUG